rnacentral:misc_RNA from 1 species
GAUGAAGAACGUAGCGAAAUGCGAUAAGUAGUGUGAAUUGCAGAAUUCAGUGAAUCAUCGAAUCUUUGAACGCACCUUGCGCCCUUUGGCUAUUCCGAAGGGCAUGCCUGUUUGAGUAUCAUGAACACCUCAACUCUCAUGGCUUGCCAUGAAGAGCUUGGACUAUGGGGGUCUUGCUGGCCUGUGGUCGGCUCCUCUCAAAUGAAUCAGCUUGCCGGUGUUUGGUGGCGUCACAGGUGUGAUAACUAUCUACGCUUGUGGUGUUUUCCACCAGGUAACCUUCAGCAAUGGAGGUUCGCUGGGGCUCAUAAAAGUCUCUCCUCGGUGAGGACAGCUCUUUUUGAACGUUUGAUCUCAAAUCAGGUAGGACUACCCGCUGAACUUAAGCAUAUCAAUAAGCGGAGGA